CAGUAGCCGCGGUAAAACAGAGGGUGCGAGCGUUAAUCGGAUUUACUGGGCGUAAAGCGUGCGUAGGCGGCUUUUUAAGUCGGAUGUGAAAUCCCUGAGCUUAACUUAGGAAUUGCAUUCGAUACUGGGAAGCUAGAGUAUGGGAGAGGAUGGUAGAAUUCCAGGUGUAGCGGUGAAAUGCGUAGAGAUCUGGAGGAAUACCGAUGGCGAAGGCAGCCAUCUGGCCUAAUACUGACGCUGAGGUACGAAAGCAUGGGGAGCAAACAGGAUUAGAUACCCGUGUAGUCCCUGUCUCUUAUAC
rnacentral:rRNA from 1 species